GAUGAACGCUGGCGGCGUGCUUAACACAUGCAAGUCGAACGAAGCACUUUGGACAGAUUCUUCGGAUGAAGUCCUUAGUGACUGAGUGGCGGACGGGUGAGUAACGCGUGGGUAACCUGCCUCAUACAGGGGGAGUAACAGUUAGAAAUAGGCCGGCUAAUACCGCAUAAGCGCACGGAACCGCAUGGUUUUGUGUGAAAACUACCGGUGGUGUGAGAUGGACCCGCGUUG
rnacentral:rRNA from 1 species